rnacentral:rRNA from 1 species
CCCUGGUAGUCCACGCCGUAAACGAUGUCGACUUGGAGGUUGUGCCCUUGAGGCGUGGCUUCCGGAGCUAACGCGUUAAGUCGACCGCCUGGGGAGUACGGCCGCAAGGUUAAAACUCAAAUGAAUUGACGGGGGCCCGCACAAGCGGUGGAGCAUGUGGUUUAAUUCGAUGCAACGCGAAGAACCUUACCUACUCUUGACAUCCAGAGAACUUAGCAGAGAUGCUUUGGUGCCUUCGGGAACUCUGAGACAGGUGCUGCAUGGCUGUCGUCAGCUCGUGUUGUGAAAUGUUGGGUUAAGUCCCGCAACGAGCGCAACCCUUAUCCUUUGUUGCCAGCGGUCCGGCCGGGAACUCAAAGGAGACUGCCAGUGAUAAACUGGAGGAAGGUGGGGAUGACGUCAAGUCAUCAUGGCCCUUACGAGUAGGGCUACACACGUGCUACAAUGGCGCAUACAAAGAGAAGCGACCUCGCGAGAGCAAGCGGACCUCAUAAAGUGCGUCGUAGUCCGGAUUGGAGUCUGCAACUCGACUCCAUGAAGUCGGAAUCGCUAGUAAUCGUAGAUCAGAAUGCUACGGUGAAUACGUUCCCGGGCCUUGUACACACCGCCCGUCACACCAUGGGAGUGGGUUGCAAAAGAAGUAGGUAGCUUAACCUUCGGGAGGGCGCUUACCACUUUGUGAUUCAUGACUGGGGUGAAGUCGUAACAAGGUAACCGUAGGGGAACCUGCGGUUG